GACGAACGCUGGCGGCGUGCCUAAUACAUGCAAGUCGAACGCAGUGGGGACGGUUGAUUAACACGUGGGUAACCUCCCAUCAGAGGGGAUAACACUUGGAAACAGGUGCUCAACUGCUAAUGAAGGAUGGACCAGCGGUGCAUUAGCUCAUUGGUGAGGUAACGGCUCACCAAGUCCACGAUGCAUAGCCGACCUGAGAGGUUGAUCGGCCACACUGGGACUGAGACACGGCCCAGACUCCUACGGGAGGCAGCAGUAGGGAAUCUUCGGCAAUGGACGAAAGUCUGACCGAGCAACGCCGCGUGAGUGAAGAAGGUUUUCGGAUCGUAAAACUCUGUUGUUAGAGAAGCGGUAUCUAACCAGAAAGCCACGGCUAACUACGUGCCAGCAGCCGCGGUAAUUC
rnacentral:rRNA from 1 species